AUUGAACGCUGGCGGCAUGCUUUACACAUGCAAGUCGAACGGCAGCGCGGGCUUCGGCCUGGCGGCGAGUGGCGAACGGGUGAGUAAUACAUCGGAACGUGCCCAGUAGUGGGGGAUAGCUCGGCGAAAGCCGGAUUAAUACCGCAUACGACCUGAGGGUGAAAGCGGGGGAUCUUCGGACCUCGCGCUAUUGGAGCGGCCGAUGGCAGAUUAGCUAGUUGGUGGGGUAAAGGCCUACCAAGGCGACGAUCUGUAGCUAGUCUGAGAGGACGACCAGCCACACUGGGACUGAGACACGGCCCAGACUCCUACGGGAGGCAGCAGUGGGGAAUUUUGGACAAUGGGCGAAAGCCUGAUCCAGCAAUGCCGCGUGUGUGAUGAAGGCCUUCGGGUUGUAAAGCACUUUUGGCGGGAACGAAAAGGACUGUGCCAAUACCACGGUUCGAUGACGGUACCCGCAGAAUAAGCACCGGCUAACUACGUG
rnacentral:rRNA from 1 species